rnacentral:rRNA from 1 species
AAGCGGAGGAAAAGAAACCAACUGGGAUUACCUUAGUAACGGCGAGUGAAGCGGUAAAAGCUCAAAUUUGAAAUCUGGUACUUUCAGUGCCCGAGUUGUAAUUUGUAGAAUUUGUCUUUGAUUAGGUCCUUGUCUAUGUUCCUUGGAACAGGACGUCAUAGAGGGUGAGAAUCCCGUUUGGCGAGGAUACCUUUUCUCUGUAAGACUUUUUCGAAGAGUCGAGUUGUUUGGGAAUGCAGCUCAAAGUGGGUGGUAAAUUCCAUCUAAAGCUAAAUAUUGGCGAGAGACCGAUAGCGAACAAGUACAGUGAUGGAAAGAUGAAAAGAACUUUGAAAAGAGAGUGAAAAAGUACGUGAAAUUGUUGAAAGGGAAGGGCAUUUGAUCAGACAUGGUGUUUUUUGCAUGCACUCGCCUCUCGUGGGCUUGGGCCUCUCAAAAAUUUCACUGGGCCAACAUCAAUUCUGGCAGUAGGAUAAAUCAUUAAGAAUGUAGCUACCUCGGUAGUGUUAUAGCUUAUUGGAAUACUGCUAGCUGGGAUUGAGGACUGCGCUUCGGCAAGGAUGU